rnacentral:lncRNA from 1 species
UCGGAGACAAGAGAGAAGGCCCGUGUUAAAUGGACAAGGGCUCAUCCUUGCAACCAAAAGCAACCGGCAGAAAAAGGAGGCCUGGAGCCCACCCCUCCUCCAGAACGCCUUAGAUAUGAGCUGGGAGGCCCAGCCUUGGGGAUAGAGCUCAAAGAGCUCAAUUCUUCAAGAUCUGGCAUAAAUGCAUGUUAUCAAAUAAAAAAUUACUACUGCCUCUGCAGACUUUUAGUCCUACUCAAAAAGUGUUCACUCCUUAAUAUCCAUUCUUGUAGAAAGACACAAAGAAGCAACGUCACGUGUGCAUGGCCCAUUUAUAAGGAAGUCAGGUCAAAGAGCUCAGGUCAGGUAGCGUGUCCACCAUCACUUGCAAAGCAGGGACUCAGUUACAGCUCCCAAUUACUUAAAUGCCACCACCCAAACAACCUGACGCUCCCUAAUGGCCUAACAGGAGUGGUUGGGGGGCUGGAGGGGCAGAGGUCUAGAGAGCUGGACCCAAUUCCCCCACAAGCCCUCCGUCGAGCUUUCCAACUCGACCCAAGCUUGCGCACCUCGCCACCCGCCAAACAGCCCCUGGUGAUCACCAAGUUUCAUUACUACAAAUGUGCUUUCCGCCAAAGGGAACGAAAGCCACAAUGCUCCUGGCGAGUCCCAGGCCCUCAGUGGAUGUCCUCUGUGACCCCACGAAGGGUUUGUGGGCCACUGUGGGUGCACCGCCCCCAGUCACGGCACUGCAGCCCCUUCCGCCUGUCACGGCCUUCUGGUUAUCUCCCGGGGCCGACGCUGCGUCCCCAGGUCGGGGGUUCUCAGGGCUGCCCCCCCCCACACACACACACACACAGGCCCUGCAGUCUGGCCUGUCUGGCAGCCGGGCACGGCCGGGUCAAUCUGCUCCUGGCUUUCUGCCAUUCAGGACACAGGUGAAGAGGAGGGCUGGUGGCUUCCAGUUAGCCUUCAUUUUAU